UACGGAGGGGGCUAGCGUUGUUCGGAAUUACUGGGCGUAAAGCGCACGUAGGCGGUCUGUUAAGUCGGGGGUGAAAUCCUGGGGCUCAACCUCAGAAUUGCCUCCGAUACUGGCAGUCUCGAGUGCGGGAGAGGUGAGUGGAAUUCCCAGUGUAGAGGUGAAAUUCGUAGAUAUUGGGAAGAACACCAGCGGCGAAGGCGGCUCACUGGCCCGUAACUGACGCUGAGGUGCGAAAGCGUGGGGAGCAAACAGG
rnacentral:rRNA from 1 species